rnacentral:rRNA from 1 species
GACGAACGCUGGCGGCGUGCCUAAUACAUGCAAGUCGAACGCAGUGGGGACGGGUGAGUAACACGUGGGUAACCUCCCAUCAGAGGGGAUAACACUUGGAAACAGGUGCUAAACCGAUACUGAUGGAUGGACCCGCGGUGCAUUAGCUAGUUGGUGAGGUCACGGCUCACCAAGGCCACGAUGCAUAGCAGACCGGAGAGGGUGAUCAGCCACACUGGAAUUGAGACACGGCCCAGACCCCUACGGGAGGCAGCAGUAGAGAAUGUUCGGCAAUGGAAGAAAGGCUGACCGAGAAACGCCGCGUGAGUGAAGAAGGUUUGCGGAUCGUAAAACUCUGUUGUUAGAGAAGCGGUAUCAAACCAGAAAGCCACGGCUAACUACGUGCCAGCAGCCGCGGUAAUAC